GCAGUAAGCUUGGCUACAGCGAAGCGCUUACCAAGCGCGAAGGAAAGGGCCUUCGCCACUUGAGCCGUAUGCGGGGGAACUCGCACGUGCGGUUCUUAGGGGGGGAGAGCUAGUAGGAGCCAUCCCAUCCCAAUAGCGUAUAUUUGGAGCUCAAUAUGAAAUCCUAUUUUCUUGCAAGACCCGUUCGGAUAAGGGAAAACUCCAGAGAUUGCUUCGGUGCGAUUCUUAAGGGGGGAGAGCUAGUAUGAGCCAUCUCAUCCUUAUAGCGUAUAUUUGGAGCUCAAUAUGAAAUCCUAUUUUCUUGCAAGACCCGUUCGGACAAGGGAAAACUCCAGAGAUUGCUUUGAAAUAAGAUCAUUGUGUUGACCCUUUCCUGAACC
rnacentral:lncRNA from 1 species